AUGGGAGACUCAAUAGGAGGCUUCGUUCUCCACAGGCACCGCUUACAAAAUGUUGUCUUCUUUAGGCUACAAGUCAACCAUGACAGCCAUUAUACUUCAAUCCCUUGCGUGUCACUACCACUACUGCCAUUUUUUGGGGAAACCACUGUGUGGAAAGGUAGGCGCUUGAAGGCACAUCAAGGAACUGCCUCGAUUGACACACUUUUCUUUUGUUUACACGAUUCGUUUACUGGUAUUACGGGAAAAGAAGUUGUCAAGAAAGCGACUAAUACAUUUUUGUAUGAGCAAAGAGAAUUUUGGCAAUUAAUCGCCCGACCAAAUAGAUCUAGACUUUGGACUCGCACCAAGCGGGGAGUCCUCACCGGGAUGACUCCAUUCCGCAGACGCCGUUCAAGAGCUUCCUACUUGGAAGAGAAACCCAUUCUUCAGGAACAGAUGGUGGCGUGCUGGCGGUUGCUGUGUGACACAAUAUGUGAGGGCUUGGAUCUGGCAGGGAGCCAAAUCCAUGGGGUGCGAAUGUGUGCUUCUUCUUCCACUCUGGCAGUAAAAGAAGGACGACUUCCUCCGCCGGAGCCAUGGGGGAUCCCACCAGAGGACAUGAAGCACAGCACAUGAAGCGGCGGUGCUUCCUUGUAGCAAACCCAGCGAGGGCACGAGCCAGGCAAGGCAAGACAAGCUUAUUAAUCGGGGUGCACCUCGAAACACAAAGGUCCUGGAGAGGGCUUUACGUUGGAGGAGGUCGCAUGUUAAACGUUUACCAGACAACCGGUACGAGGCAAUCGUCUAAAACUGAAAGCAAAGGCAUAUAAAAUGAAAGUCCAGAAGAAAAGAAGACCAAGGAUUCAUCUCAAGCACACAUCCCUAGAAAGAGAUGAGGCAGUCAAUCAACCCUCAGCAUCUUCACUGACUGUGGGUAACAGCAGGCCCCCGUCCGGACAUCUGUAUAAUGCUGGUCAACUUCUGGUCCCUGGCCAAACUCGCUAAUGAACUACUUUAGACUAGAAGAGUGCCAUGGAGAAAGGGAGAAAUGGACGGAGGGAGGGGGGAGAGAGGGAGCAAGGUCUCAUCAAACAAAACACCAAUGAUUAGCAGGAAUUAGCCUAAAUCAGUUAUCAAUGAUUUCUGUUCACUAGGAUGCUUUUAAGUUGCUGUUUAUUUUGCUCUGACCUGAUAAGCUAAAGACUGUUAUUAAAAUAACCUUGUAUGCAAAGUUCAGGCAUUCAUUCUCUUUAGUGGAUAAAUGCCUGAACUUUGGAUGGGAGCAGGCCCCUGCUGUGAAUAAUUGGGAACAAAGUUGUGCAACCGAUUCACCUGUAGGCUGCUGGAGAUUCUAAAUCGUAAAAGAAAGAAAGAAAGCAUAAAUAUAAAUAAACCGAAAUGGCAAAUUGGCCUAUUGUAAUUUUAUGUUCGAAUCUGUCAGCGAAUGUGGACGUUAUUGUAUAUAUAUUAGGUAAUGAAUAACAAAAAAUGAUAAUCUAUCCUAAAUGUCAUUGUAACUUUUAUGGAAAUAUAGGCUAUUGUUUGGUUCCAUAAAAAAACACAAUCCACUCCCUGUCUGUACUUUUUGUUUCACCAACUUCCUCAAUCUUUUUUGCCAGAACUGAAAACCUACUAACAAACUUGCAUUGUGUUCUUUCAAGGUAGAUUCAGUUUGACCUCCUCAGAGACUAAACAGAAGUACAGAUGCAACACAAAUAUGUCGGUUGGUUUGUCCAUAAUGCACUGGACGAGUGCAAGCCCAUUUCUCUUUAAAACAAUCUAUGUUUUUACAAUAGGUCAAUCAAAAGUCAUAAGGUUUUAAUGUGAAUUGCAAAAUGCUGGGUAUUUGGGCUAAACAAGGUGAAGUGAAAUAGUCUAUAUAACUUAAAAAAAUUCCAAAGGUGUUAGAAAAGCAGGGAUCAAAACAAGUUUCCUUGGUCUGGUAAAUAAAAGAUAAGCUGUGCAUUGGGACUUGGGUGUGCAGCCAUCACUGUGGUCAAGUUAAUUAGCUUAGGAACUCAAAUCACCCAGACCUGAACUAAAGCCAUUCAACAAACCACCCUCUUGAGUCUUGAGUCCAUGGCAACACAUUAAUAUAGUGUAGGCAGUGUGUCUGUAGCUCAGAGGCUCACACACAAAAGCACAAUAUACAGAGUAGGUUGUUGCUCGUGCUGGCUUGAGUCGCCAUCACAUCCAAAGCUGGGAUCUGAUCUAUGUGUCUUGAGGAGGGUAAUUAAAGAUUGUGUUUUCAGCACUAUUUGGUGAGAUGUUCAGAAUCACGAUCUGUGGAAGAGAUGUUUAAAAAUUGGCUAAAAAUGGCUUUGAUGUAGAAGAGGGAAACAGAGAGACACAGAGAGAUACAUAUA